rnacentral:misc_RNA from 1 species
CCAAGCGAAGUUUGGAUCCGCGUGUGGACGGCGGGCUGGCGCGGUGCGGUUUUCUCCAACCGCACCUAAUUGCCACCCUCCGCCCCGCGUCCUUCCACCUUCGAGAACCCCCACCCUUGAACACCUCUCUGCAGUUGCCUCGGCGGAUCCGUCCGCCAGAGGACCCGAACCAAACUACUGCUGUAAACCUGCCGUCUGAGCUUUUGAAGCAAUUGUUA